rnacentral:misc_RNA from 1 species
GGCACGCGAGGGUCUCCCUCACCCACCCCCUCACCGUACGACGACGACGACGAUUUCUAUCGAAACUCGGGAUUAUUUAAAUUUUACGCGUAUAUUUCAAAAUAUAAAUUAAACCGGUCGAUUUGAGAAUUUUUUCGUAAAAAAAAAAGUGGAUUUUUUAUAGAGUGGAUUUUUUUUUUUGGUUUUUUGGUGGAUUUUGGUGUAAGGUUUUAAGAGUAAGAGAGAGAGGAGAUUUUUGGGAAUUAUGAUUUUUAGAAUGUUUGUGGUGGUUGGAGUUUUGGGGGUCUGUUGUCUGGGACAGACUCUGAUGGUGAAUGAGAACGAGGAGGAUGGAGUCCAACAACCCACUGCAAUGGUGUCAGUCGAUGCCGUAUUGGCCCGCAGUGCGACUUUACCGUGUGAUAUUGAGCCGAGCAUCAGGGAGGAUCGAAUUUACAUGGUUUUAUGGUACAGGGAUGGACACAGUAAACCCAUUUAUAGUUUCGAUGUGCGAGGAAGAGCGUUCACGAAGGCCCUUCAAUGGUCGGACCCGAACAUGUUUGGACCCAGGGCGUAUUUCGUCACGGUGUCCAAACCGGCCGCCCUCACCUUGGAUGGGGUCACAUUGGACGACGAGGGGGUCUACAGGGCCAGGGUCGACUUUAAAAUGUCCCCAUCGAGGAACUGUGCCGUCAAUCUAACGGUCAUUGUUCCUCCUCACCAACUGUUACUCUACGACAAGAUGGGCCGCGGAGUGAACGACGUAAUCGGACCCUUAGAGGAGGGAUCGGAUUUGGUGUUGACGUGCGAAGUGAGAGGUGGUAGUCCCAGUCCAACCGUAUCCUGGUUCGUGAACGAUCGUCUCACGGAGGGACACGUCGAGGUGAUUUCCAAGAACAACGUGAUCGUCAACCGCUUGGAAAUCCGUCAAUUGACCAGGGAUAAAUUGAACUCGACUUUCAAGUGUCAAGCGAGCAACACCAAGUUAAUGAUGCCCUCCCAGAAAACCGUCCGAUUGGAAUUGUUACUGAAACCCCUGAGCGUAAUCAUCCCGAUAAAACCGAGACAACUGAUAGCGAACGAGGAGGUGUCGAUUAACUGCGAGGUGACCGGAUCACGUCCUAAAGCGGUUGUGUCUUGGACCAGAGACACGCGACCCUUCAAACGUGGGAAGUUUCGGGAAGAAGAGAUAUCGAACGGGUCCGCGGUGGUGGUGAACACGGUGUCGUUUGUCCCGGUCCCGGAGGAUGACGGGACGCUUUUAAAAUGCAUCGGCGAGAAUCCCAAGUUGCCGGGGAUGAGCCAGGAGGACUCGUUCAAGUUGAACGUCGUAUAUCCGCCCCAAGUGGUCCUCCAUUUGGGGAGCACCCUUAACGCGGCCGACAUCAAGGAAGGCGACGACGUUUAUUUCGAGUGCAACAUUAAGGCCAACCCGAAACAGCACAAGAUCACCUGGUAUCAUAAUGGUCUGAUGGUCAACCAGAACAUGUCUUCGGGCAUAAUAAUCAGCACCCACAGUUUAGUACUGCAGAGCGUCGCCAGGGGGCAGAGCGGCAAUUACACCUGCUUGGCGGCCAAUCCGAGGGGCGAGACCAUGAGCCCCGCAGUGACCUUAAAAGUCCGAUAUGCUCCCGUAUGUACCAACAGCGAAGCGACAAUAAUCGGAGCCUCCUUGGACGAGGUGCUGAAGGUGCACUGUCAAGUGUCAGCCGAUCCCGCCGACGUGACGUUUCAGUGGCAAUUUAAUAAUAGUGGAGAGAGUUUUGACGCGCAGCCGCCGAGAUUCGCGACAUCUAGCGGGAAUUUGAGCGAGUUAACUUACGCGCCCAAGUCCCAGAAGGAUUAUGGGAGUUUGACAUGUUGGGCGACCAAUUCGAUUGGGAGACAGGUGGAGCCCUGUAUAUUUCAGAUCGUACCAGCCUCAAAACCGUCCCCGUUAACCAAUUGCACCCUCAAAAGCGUCAACAAUCAAACGAUAGAGAUCGUGGAUGUCGAGUGUAAGUCCGGAUACGACGGCGGACUGCCCCAGCAAUUCGUCUUGGAGGCCUACGACGCCCAUAGUAUGAGACUACGAAUAAAUCAAACCGUACGUGACACCGAGUAUCCGACCUUUCACCUGGACCUGGGAGAUCUGCUGCCCUCUCCUCCCUCACUAAAAGUGAUCGUUUAUGCCGUAAAUGCCAAGGGAAAAAGUGAGAAGCUUGUGUUAGACGAUAUCACCCUUAAUGAUGCUGAAAAACGUACUGAUGGCAGCACGAACAUGAGUUUGGUACCGCUGGCGGGUCUCCUCACCGGAUCCCUCCUCACCCUGGGCAUAGCCGUCUUAGUCAUAGUGGUGGUGGCGGUAAGGAGGAAACGUCACUGUAACGGACUAAACCACUGUCCCCACCACAUCGCUUUGGACGCCUCCAAGCCCCAAACCAAGUCCAGACAAGGCAGCAUGCUGGAAAUCAAUACAGGUGACAACCGGUACGUGGUGGCGUAUACGUUGAAACCGGCGGCGGACUGUUCGCCGCCUCCUCUGUUUCCCGCCUCCCAAGAUAACAACCGUCAGAUGACGUCACCGUCCGACUCGCAGGUGAGGAGGCAACCGGACAUUUUGAACGCGCCCAGAGGUGAGUGUAGAUGCGAAUGUCACCAUCGUAGUAGCGGACACUGUCACGCCCACGACCGACACUUCACCACAUUUAAACACUUCGACGACGUUUGAUGGGACCCUUUAAAAGGGUUUUUCACUAGUUUUUUUUCUUUUUUUUUUUUAUAUAAAUUUUAAUGAUCGGGGGUGAUUCAUUUCUCCUUCAUCCUCCUCUCCCUAGAUUAAAAUGGAAAACUACUUAAAAUGUUCUCCUCAAAAAGGAACCGUAAUUUUUUUUAAUUGUUAAAAUGGUGAAGAUGAUGCAGAACGUAAAAAAUAAUUUGUAAAAUACCAUCAAAUGCCUGGAAUAAGAAAAAAAAUUACUCGGUGCCUUAGGACCAACCUAAUAAUAUUCAAUUACCUGGAAAAUAUUAACAAAUUAUUUGAAAUGCCUGCAAGGUGGCGACAAUAGUGCGGGCACACCCCCAGAACUACCCAGACCCGUAGAGUUCUACUCACCCGGCGGUGCAGAAACCGCCAACUUAAUAACGUUAGACACAUCAGCCAGUUUUUCAAAUUUACAA